rnacentral:rRNA from 1 species
CCUACGGGAGGCUGCAGUGAGGAAUAUUGGUCAAUGGGCGCGAGCCUGAACCAGCCAAGUCGCGUGAAGGAUGACUGCCCUACGGGUUGUAAACUUCUUUUGUAAGGGAAUAAAGUGCGGCACGUGUGCCUUUUUGUAUGUACUUUAUGAAAAAGGAUCGGCUAACUCCGUGCCAGCAGCCGCGGUAAUACGGAGGAUCCGAGCGUUAUCCGGAUUUAUUGGGUUUAAAGGGAGCGUAGUGGGGUUGUUAAGUCAGUUGUGAAAGUUUGGGGCCUAACCCUCGAAUUGCAAUUGAUACUGGCAGUCUUGAGUACAGUUGAGGUAGGCGGAAUGCGUGGUGUAGCGGUGAAAUGCUUAGAUAUCACGAAGAACUCCGAUUGCGAAGGCAGCUUACUAGACUGCCACUGACAUUGAUGCUCGAAAGUGUGGGUAUCAAACAGGAUUAGAUACCCGAGUAGUC